rnacentral:rRNA from 1 species
UACGGAGGUGGCAAGCGUUGUUCGGAAUUACUGGGCGUAAAGGGCGCGUAGGCGGCAAGGCAAGUCAGGUGUGAAAGCCCCGAGCUUAACUCGGGAAUUGCAUCUGAAACUGCUGUGCUUGAGUUCUGGAGGGGUAGUGGAAUUCCCAGUGUAGCGGUGAAAUGCGUAGAUAUUGGGAGGAACACCUGCGGCGAAGGCGGCUACCUGGACAGAAACUAGACG